AAGCCCAUGGAAUGUGCACAACCUUAAAAAAUAUUUGAAACGUUCCUAAGCAUCAAAUAAUGACUCACCCUAUUCUUUCCUAAAAUUAGAGAUUUGGCUUCUAAUUU